UUUCACGCGUUAUCUACAUAAUUUUAGUCAAUGUUUACUCCAUAUUUUAAGGUUUCCUUAGUUGUUCUUGUUAAUUCUAGUGCCGUUGAGGUUACUAUUGAUGAUGAAAUUUUGUUCCUCAGGGGACAUAAGUCAAAUACGAUGUCCUAGACAACUAGUUCGACAAGUUAAACUAGAAUCACCAUAAAUAAUACAGAUUCAA
rnacentral:lncRNA from 1 species